rnacentral:rRNA from 1 species
AACGAACGCUGGCGGCAUGCCUAACACAUGCAAGUCGAACGAGACCUUCGGGUCUAGUGGCGCACGGGUGCGUAACGCGUGGGAACCUGCCCUUAGGUUCGGAAUAACUCCCCGAAAGGGGUGCUAAUACCGGAUAAUGUCUUCGGACCAAAGAUUUAUCGCCUUUGGAUGGGCCCGCGUUGGAUUAGCUAGUUGGUAGGGUAAAAGCCUACCAAGGCGACGAUCCAUAGCUGGUCUGAGAGGAUGAUCAGCCACACUGGGACUGCGACACGGCCCAGACUCCUACGGAAGGGAGCAGUGGGGAAUAUUGGAGAAGGGGCGAAAGCCUGAUCCAGCAAUGCCGCGUGAGUGAUGAAGGCCGUAGGGUUGUAAAGCUCUUUUACCCGGGAUGAUAAUGACGGUACCGGGAGAAUAAGCUCCGGCUAACUCCGUG